CACUUGCUGUGGAAUCAAUUUACUCCAUAUGUGCCUACUCAACCACUUUGAUUUGUGGAACUGGUAUUGUUACUGUUGCAACAUAAUACUCAUUCUGUAGCUGUAAAAAAUGGUGGCACCAACACUUUGCAAUUCCCUGCCCAUUGACAUCAGGGAGGUGCCUUCACUGUGAUUUUUGGGGGGUAUCUGUUUAAAACAUCUUUCUUUUGGCAUGCAAAGCCAGACAUGUAGAUAUUGGUGUGUUUUAAUAUUUUUUUACUGUUAGUUUUAAUUAUUUUUCAAUGGUUUAAACUGGGGUUUUUUUUUAAUUCAUAAUUGUAAUAUUUCUUGUAAACUGCUUAGAGGUUAUUUUGUUAAAUAAAAAUAAAUAAAUAGAAGGGAUCUACUGUUAUUCCUAUAGAAACCCCCAGUCAGACAUUUGAGUCCUAGGGAGAAACAAAGCUAAAUGAAGCUGAAGGAAACUGUAGUCUUUGAACACUUUUGAAGAGCUGAAGUGGAGUCUUCCUAUGGCAUCAGAAUCCACUGUUAGCAUAGGAAAGCAAAUUUUUGCAAUGAGAAUGACAUAAGAUCCUUACUAUUUACAUCAAAAGCUGAUGAAAAUACGACUACUGGUGGUUAUUUAUUUAUGGCUUCUGAAUGAAGAUUUUAUUUUUGUGGCUGAAAAUACUCUAGCGUCUAUAUUGGCCAGGGUUUUUUUUAGCCAGCAGGUGUGCUGCUUACUGAUAUGGGCAUGGAAUUUGAUGAUGAGUGUGCAUUUGGGAUUGCCACCGGUGAGAAGUCCUGGCUAAUGAGGGCCUUUUUUCUACAAAUCAAUUAGCAGAGUACCAUGCAGAAGACAUAUUCCCCCAUCUGCUUAUUACACUGCUAGACUGUGCUGUUUAGCACAUUUGCUUUGGGGAGCCUUGGUUACAUCUUAACAAGAGGAUAAUGAAAAUUCUGUUCACAGGAAAUUAUGUUUUAGUGGGUUUGCACUGCUUCCACUUGCUGGCUCCCCCCCCCACUAAACUGUCCAAUAUUUUGAAGACGGAUAAAUGUUUUUUAAAAAAAUAUUCAAUUUCACUUGCCUAUGGAAUUACCUUACCAACAUAGUUAAUACAUUUCUGCAAUAGACAAAUGGAAUUUGGUAGAGAUAAUUAUAGGCACUAACUAAAUAGAAAAGUUGGAUAAUUUUGUAAUACUUAUAUGUUUCAUUUUUUAUUUACAGCAACUAGCCCAAUAUCUUUCUAAAAUGUGUGUGUGUGCAUCACACACAUGAUAAAGCAUAGUGAAAUGCCUUCUAAUUCUUUCAGUUAAAACUACUUUUAUGGUUUUAUCAUUCUUUCACAUUUAAAUUAGCAAAUCCAUUUGGCUUCCUUAUUCUCCCUUUUUAAGAGGUAUGGUUCUAAUACUGUGAAUUUUGAAUACAUUAAGACUAUACAGCUCAAUUCUGGUGCUUUGUAUAAACUGUGUAGAAUUCAUUAAUGUGCAGCUAAUUUAUCCACUGUUAACAUUCAGUGAUUUAGAUUUUCCUUCCAUUUUAGUUUUCCUGCAUGUUGUUAUGCAUGUUGUUAUGCCAAAUACAUUCUUCACAGUAUCCUAAUUAAUAAUAACCAUUCAGUAUUGAUUUGAAUGUAUGGAUUUUUGUUUCUGUUUACUUAAUUCUAAUAAUUAUUGUUCAGCUGAAUUAUAUUUAAGAUGCAAAAUUAAUCUUGAAGGCAAUCUUUUCAGAAAACAAUCUAUGAUUACAUAUCCAAUUAUCUACUCUGUAUUUUUUAAAGUGGUUUGUUUAUUUUUUUGAUUCUCUUAACAUUAUUCUCAAUACAUUUGGAUGCCUCUUGAAAUAUUGUCAUCAGCUGGGGUGGCAGACUUGGUUGCUGGGUGGACACUGGGCAAACUUCUGAAUCCAGACGGUGGAACAAAAUGUCACUUUGGUGUGACUCUGCCCAUUUUUUUGCCACCUCUCAGUAUAUCAUGGGGACGCGGGUGGCACUGUGGGUUAAACCUCAGCGCCUAGGACUUGCCGAUCACAUGGUCGGCGGUUCAGAUCCCUGCGGCGGGGUGCGCUCCCGUCGUUCGGUCCCAGCGCCUGCCAACCUAGCAGUUCGAAAGCACCCCCGGGUGCAAGUAGAUAAAUAGGGACCGCUUACCAGCGGGAAGGUAAACGGCGUUCCGUGUGCUGCGCUGGCUCGCCAGAUGCAGCUUGUCACGCUGGCCACGUGUCUGCGGACAGCGCUGGCUCCCGGCCUAUAGAGUGAGAUGAGCGCACAACCCUAGGGUCUGUCAAGACUGGCCCGUAUGGGCAGGGGUACCUUUACCUUUACCUUAAUAUAUCAUGGCCAAGCUCAGCACAAGUGUUCCUGUCAGGUACCAUUUCGAAAUGAUGUUAGUUGUUCAGGGUGAACAUGCGUCUCAAUUCACACAACAAAAAGGCACACAACAUUGUUUUGCUCUCACAUUUUUGUACUAGAGAAACAAUAUGACAAGUUCAGUGCAAGUUGCUUUUAUAGCUUUUAUGUAUGUAUAUUGUUUGCUUUUAAAAUGCUUAAAAGUGGCUCUGCAAUUUCAUUUUACUCACUGGAUAGAUUAAUCAAUUUAAUUAGCUAAAAAAAGGUAUCCACACAGGGGGUGUGUGUGUGUAUUCAAAUUCAAGUGCUUAUAUAAACUGAAACUAGCAAGCACCAUUCACCAUUCCCUUUCUCUCACUUAGAAUGGAGGGGAUGCAUUUUCUAAAAUGGUGUGAUAUAUGUGUUAUCUUAAAAACUAAAGGUAGCAUCUAGUUGUGGCAGUCAUUCAACACCCAUUUUUAGCAUACCACAACAGCCAAAUACAAUAGUUGUUCUGAACACGUGAAGGUUGUUACACAACCCCUAGUGCAACCAUUAUUUUACUUCAUGUCAGGUGAACUUUGUGUGCAGCCUGUAGUGCUGCAGCUCAUACAACUUAAAUGUUACUGUUUGUUGUAGAUGCAGUGUAUAAAUCACAUUUCUGGCUUGUUCUUAUCAGUUCUAAGUAGUUCCAAAUAUACCGGUACUUUCUAUGAUGAAAAAUUAAAAUGGCACCUAUAGACAUAUGCCAGAAACGGGUGUUCAUACCAGUUUUCAUGUAUUCUUCACAGUUGCUCCAUUUUUAUAUUUGUUUUCAGUGAUUCGGGUAGGCUCAUUUUCUGCCCUAGCACUGAAGGUCUGCAGGCUUUGCUUCACAGCCACUUAAUUGCUUAGGUCUUUGUUCCUGCACCCAAGAUUAGAGGUAACCAUUGAAUGUGAAGUCUUCAGUGCCCAUUGAUAUACAGCAUGCAGCCUUAGAAGUAGGAUGAAUUUGUCUGGCUUCAUGGCUGCAUGCUGUUCACUUCAAUUUUCCAUUAAAUGGCAAUUUAAAGACAUGGCUCCAGGCCGAUGCAGGAGAGAGUUAUAAAAAGAGUUUCAUUAACAGUUCAAAGUAACAUAAUUUGAAGCUGAGUAGGUUGUAGCCCACCCUAUUUUUUGUCAGCAUUUAUCAUUUCCAUUGACUUGCAAAUCAGAGCAUAUUUCAUCUUGAGGAAAGGGAUCCAGAGUUUAAGAAUCUAGAUUAAAUUUAUGUGUCUUGGGGCCAAGUCAUUAAAUAAAGGACAGGUGACAAUUCAGGUAUGCCUGUAUAUGUGUUUUUCUAAAAAAUGAAUACUGUAUCAAGUUGGCAUCACUCAUGUCCAGCCGAGACAGAUUCCCUACCUGAUCACGUAGCGGACUAUUGUUUAUUAUUGUUGUAUAUUUUUUAUUUCUUCCCAUGUGGCAUCCCAAAGCAAUUUACAAUAUAAUAAAAACUCAUAUAAAACAGUUACAAACAAAAAAAACCAGUUAAAACAAUUGUGUGUGGGGGGGGAAUUCAGUGUCAUACUCUUCCAGUCGUUCCUACUGUACAAACAUUACUAUCUUGCCCACAUGCUGUUCUGGUCAUUCUCCCAACACACACCAUUUCAGGGGGGGAGGGGGAGAGGGGAAGCCCUUUUGCACAAGCAGAAGUCCUUGUGCAGGGCUUCCACUGACAGGGCUUAUUAGGUGAAUCUCGACCAUUGCUAUUUUAAAAGAAAGCAAUUGUGUAUAGAAAACAGUUUAAAACAGCAGCAGAAAAUACAUAAUAUCAAUUCACAUCCAGUACAGAUAUCAGCUGGGAAAUCUCCAAUUAGAAGGCUUAUUGAAAAAGUAAUGUAUUUAGCAGGCACAGAAAAGACAGCAGAGAAGGUACUGGGAGGGUGUUACCACACUAAAAUCCUGAUUCUCACAUCAUGUAGAAGAGGCCUGCUGAUAAGACAGAUGCUUCCUCCUGCAGAGUGUAGUGAUCAGUUGCGUAUGUAAGCUAUGAAGCAGUUCUUUUACAUAUCCUGGUUCCAAACCAUAUAAUGCUUUGUUCAACACCAACACCUUGAACUUUUCCCAGUAACUGGUUGGUAGCCAGUGCAAUUCUUUCAGUAUUGAUGCAACAUGAUGGCAAUCGGGUGCCACCUUGAAUAAAAUAUUGGGGGGCCCAGGUAAGCCCCACCCCACAUAAGUGAUCACAGGAUGUGCAUACACACCAUUUGAAUGGCAAUGUUCGUCACCUUUGGGGGGCCCAGCCCCCUCAAAUACUUUAUUGAGAGGCGAAGACUCCUCAGCCCUUAGGUGUUUGCUCCUAUGAUGGUUGUAUUCUGUCCCAGUGGGCAGUCCCAACUGCUGCAUUUUGCAGUAGUUGCAGCUUCCAGGUCAGCCACGAGGUACCCGCACAUGGAACAUAUGACAGUAAAGAUGUAAGCAGGUAUGAGGUGUGCACAAGAUACAUGCUAGGUUAUCAAAGAAGAAUAAAAUGGUGGGUGCCCAAUACAUUUAUUCAUAAUUUCCUUCUCUUUACUACUGCUUGUCACAUUUUCAGUACAGUUGGAAUGGAGUCGAGGAUCCAUAUAGAAAGAUCCUUGAUGGGGCCUAGCAUUUUGCUUUGGAUCUGCCAGUUGUGUAAGAAUAGCAGUUGAUCCAAGCCCCAUUUUCAUUUUGCCCAGUGCACUAAAUAGCAAUGAUAUGCUGUAGCUAAACUUUCAUGCAUUUCUGGAGUACAUUAGCUAAUCUGACUAAUGUUCUUUGGGGGGGGGAGAAGCAUGUUCUUUUGAAGGAAAAUUACAGGUUCCAGCAAUUCCCUUGCCCUCCUUUUUACAUCUGCCUGUUUGAAAGGGUAGCUUUCUUGAUACAAAGAGCAUCCCUAACAGUCUUCAGCUCAGAACGAUUUUAUGUCACAGUGUCUUGACCUUUCCCUGGGAAAAAUAUUACCUAAAAAGGAAAAGAAAUGUGGUUUCCUUCGGGGCUUUAAAGAUUCCAGUGAUCAUUGUCAGCUAACUAUCCUUUCUGCUUAAUGCGUUGUCAGGUUCCACUUACAAGAGCCAUGUAUUUGGUGCAUACCAUAUCUUAUGUUCCAACCUGCAAGGUAAAUUCCCCCCCUUUAACCUUUGUUGAUCUCUUUUGCCCAUGCAAAGGGUUUUACCAUGUAUAUAUUGAGUGCUUUUUUAUACAUAAAAAUGUUUAGAGGUACUUUAAUUUUCCUACUCAUAUUGAAAUCUGCCCCUCAAUGAGGCCAAACUUAGAUUCAUAAAAUGUUUAGGGGUAUGCGUACCCCUGCAUACCCCCAGAAAAAAGCACUGUAUAUUUUCUAUUUUACCUAAAAUACUUCAGAGAUUUACAGAAGUAAUGGCUGAAUUACCUUAGGCUUUGCCUUAUAAUUAAUUUUUUAAAAAUUUCUUUGCAGUUAGCAGUAUUGCAGGUUUUUUUUAUUUCUUUGCAGUUAGCAAUAUUGCAACACAUUUGAAACAAGCAAAACAAACACAAAGUCAUUCAACUUUCUACUAGCAUAUUUUACAGAAAUAUAGAGUAGAUGUGUAUGCAGAAUCAAUUUAGAUCCACUUUUUAAAGAUGCAGCUAAAAGCAAGCUACGCACACAUAGCCAUUUUUCAGCUGGGUAGGAAAUAAAUUCAUGAAGCAGUUAUUCAUUUUUGUGAUACUAAAACAGCAUUAGUAGUAACUAAUUAUCACUAUCACAACAUUUAUAUAAUUUGUUAAUUGCUGUUCAGGUUCUCCCUUUCUCUCCAGUUGCCAUGUCAGAUAAACAAGAAGGUUGCAAACACCUACACAUUUUGUAUCAUUUUAAUUAAUUUGCAUUGCACUCUAGCAGCAGGAGUCUGCUCAAUAAAUGUUAGCAAUGCUCUUUGAGGGAUUGAGUAGGCUGAUGUAUCAAAUAGGCUUUUUAUUUCUUGUUUUAAUGCUUGUAAGUCUACUGGACAGUAGACUUUACAUAGAAUAAUCAGGUUCUGACAUCAGGUUUGUGGCAUCAUGUUUACUUGGAGAUAAUUGGAUAAGGAUGAAUAUUUUUAUUUUUUUUUAAGGUUUAUCUCUAAAUAUACUCUAGCUGGGUUCAUUCAACAUAUUUGGCCAAUGAAUAAUAUGUUUUGGGUUUUUUUUUUUAAAAAAAUAAUAUUUAUUACUUUUAUAGAUUAC